rfam:Ruminococcus sp. DSM 100440 contig00014, whole genome shotgun sequence.
GGCAGAGUAGAAAUAUGUGCGUUAAGUGCCAUACGGACGGGGAGUUGCCGGUGGACGAAAAGAGUAUUCUUGCGGUACAUAUUUUGCAUCCCGCUGCU